GCGAACGCUACAAAACGUCGUGUUUUUUUAUUCAGUUUGUAAAUAUCCGUUGAUUGUCUCCGUUUCUAUAUUGUUUUCAUAUCUUUGAAAAUAUCCAAUUAUUAUGCUGUAGUGAAAUGAUAGAGCGAGUUUCCCAUAUCGAUUUCAACUGAUGUUCACUUACGCUGCAUGUGAAUCAACUGCCGAGGUAAUUUGUAAUCAGCCGGGUAAAUCUUGUCGUAUGCCUCCACAUCCGUCAAGUCGGUGACCUCUGGAGUGGGGAUUAUUAGUCCCGCGCAUAUUGCCCGUUGGAGGUGAUGCUCCUGUAGUUAGCAGAUUCAUCUCGGAAGCAAUUAAUUCAUCACGUCCUGGAGGUUUGCCUGGAACGUGCAUUGAAGCAUGAUUUUUCAGGCAAACACAUCAGUAAAAUGAGGAGAGAAAACGUGGAGGUAUUAAUUCAUAUCUCCAACGUAAACAAUUACUAAAGCUCCAGCGAUAUGCUCCAGCAAUGUCAACAUUCCCCGCAUCGCUCUCCGUGAUUCAUCUCAGUCAACCAAUUCCAGACUAACAUCGUCAUUAAAGAAAUUUUCGCUGUUUUUUCAUUUUGCGAAAGGCAAUAUCAUUAUUAGCAUUUUCAUGUUGAAAUCUUCAAUAACUUCCUCGAUAAAUAAUAAUAUCGAUAAUUUGUCAAUAAAUAAUGCUCUAAUACCGAUAAUAAUAAAAUUAAAUCGACAGAAAAUUAAGCCUGUUAUGUGCGAAAAGAACA